AUGGCAAAAACCGUCACCCAGUGCGCGCGCACACACACCUCCUAUUUAAACUCUGGGUGUUUCCGAGGACACGAAUCAGAAGUUUUUGCGCCUACAGCUGGCACUGCGAGUCCCCACUGCUGCCUUCUGUCUCUACUGAGAUUUCUUUCUUUUUUUUCUUUAAAAAAAUUUUUUUUUUUAAGUCGUUUAUACAUGGAUGGUAUUAGAGCAAGUUAUCAUUUUAUUGGCACUGCAUGCAGGCCUGAACUGGCCACCGGGAGCACAGGGAGAAUUCACGCUCUGGCAAACAGUUUGGAACAGAGUCAUCACUGCAAAGAGUGAGAAUGGAGAGGAAGUGCAGAGGAUGGAGAGGAAACGGAGAGGAUGGAGGGGAAGCGGAGAGAUUGGAGAGGAAGCGGAGAGGAUGGAGAGGAAACGGAGAGGUUGGAGAGGAAGGAGAGGAAGCGGAGAGGAUGGAGAGGAAGCAGAGAGGAUGAUGAAGAAGCGGAGAGGAUGGAGAGGAAGCAGAGAGGAUGGAGAGGAAGAGGAGAGGAUGGAGAGGAAGUGGAGAGGAUGGAGAGGAAACGGAGAGGAUGGAGAGGAAGAGGAGAGGAUGGAGAGGAAGUGGAGAGGAUGGAGAGGAAGUGGAGAGGAUGAAGAGGAGAGGAGGGAGAGGAAGUGGAGAGGAUGGAGAGGAAGCGGAGAGUAUGGAGAGGAAGCGGAGAGGACGGAGAGGAAGUGGAGAGGCUGGAGAGGAAGUGGAGAGGAUGGAGAGGAAGCGCUCUAAAAAGAAGCAGCAAAAAUGUAAUAAAAAAACAACCAGUUCAGGGCUUCAAGGGCAGGUCAGUCUCAUCUGUAAAUACUGUAGCUUUGUGUUCUCUAACUUAGCUAAUCAAGUAUUAACCACAGUUUCACUAUAUAAUAGUCAGCACUAUUACUAUCGUCACUCAAAAUAUGCUAAAGGACAGUGUUAUCUACUGUAUAGUUAUAAUACUAAGCAAUUUAGCAGACAAAUAUCCAAAUUGAUUAUUUUAAAUGUGGGAAUUAAAAAUACAGCUAUAGCAAGCAACAACAACAACAACAACAGCAACAAAGACUUUCCAAGCUAUGAGUCGUAAAAGGUAAUAUCAUGUUCAAUAUUAGGAUUUUUCUAAAUAGAUAUUGCCAUGAUGUAGUUAGUAUUGUACUAACAGAUAUUUAGGCAAAUUAUAAAAUUAUGUCUUCCCAUAUGUGAGGUUGAAAAAUUUUUUUUUUAUAAUAAGGUGAAGAGAGUCAACCUGGCAUUAGCUCUGUGCAGCGGUCACACUUCAGGGUCAACCUGAUAUGACAGGUAGAGAUAAAACUUCAUAUUCGUAUGAAAUAUAGUAUGGUUAAACCUCAGGUAUUUUAAGCAUUUUUAAGUCUCAAAAAACAUUGCCCUAAUGUGAUACAUUAAUAUUAAUAACUAAAGGAAAUUUUGAUUCUGUGCUCACAAAUUACAUUGAGGUUAAACAGUUUUCAUUUUCUAACAAUGUGGACACAGUUCUGUUCAUAACAUACAUGAAAAAUGUCUUUUGUUUACCUCUCUUCUGCAUUUAAUGUUACUGAGUUACUGGCAGCUUUGCACUUCUGGUGUUUGUUAAAUGCUUGGCAUACCCAUGUAAGCUGAUAUAAAUUAGGACUGCUUCACUACCUCUAGGUUUCUUGUUUAUGUUUUUAUAGGAUGGCCGUAUUGUGUGCAAACUGAAUUUAGGAAAGAAAAAGGGUUGUCAGUGGUUUCAAAAUGUGUUUAUGGUGUAUGGGAUUCCCUGGUUGAGUGUGAGACAUCAUGUCCCAGUCCGGCCCUGACUGCAUGUUCCUAUCCGAUUACACUGAGUGACAACACUCUCUGUUAUGCUUGGAUAUUAGGCACUUCAGUAUACUGUAUGUGUCGGGUGUGUUAUUUAGGUGCUGUAGUGCUCUGUGGAUCAACAGCGGCUCAUGACCAUAGAUUUUGGUGGGACAGGAAGACAUUAUUAAUGACAUAGUCUCAAACAAAAUCAAUCACACACAACAGAGUUUGCACAGAAUGGUGCGGAAAAAAACAAAAAGCAAACAAACAAAAACUAUUGCUUACUAUUUUUUUUUUUUUCACACCAUUCUGUGUAAAUUCUAAAGACUGUUGUGUGUGAAAAUCCCAGGAGAUCAGCAGUUUCUGAAAUACACAAACUAGCCCAUCUGGCACCCCUGCUAAAAACCCCCCCAAACAAAUAGAAACCAUCUCAGAAAUGUUAGUGGUUGACACUACAAAUACUAUUACAAUCCACCAGCUAACCAUUAAAACCAUUACCAUUACCAUAAUUGGUCCUUAAUGAUAUCCACUACACAUGACAUGACACCAAUAAAAGGCAACAAAUUACCAGUAGAGCUCCACAGGUACCUUUACAGUUUCCAUAAAAAAACAAACCAUACAAUUUCCAUUAUAACCAUUAAAAACAUUACAAAUUCUAUAAGGGUUUCAAUUGUUUCUUUGUUUUCAGCAGGGCAACCAUGGUUAAAGUCACAGAGAUCACACUUUUCCCCCAUUCUGAUGUCUAAUGUAAACAUUAACUGAAGCUCUUGGCCAGUACCUGCAUGAUUUCAUGCUUGCACUGCUGCCACAUGAUUGACUGAUUGGAUAACUGCAUAAACGUGCAGGUGUACCGGUGUUCCUAUUAAAGUGGACGGCUGUGGCGAAGCUCUGCCUCACCUGCCUCUCUGGAUGAGCCACCAUUACUGAAAUAAUAGAGGUGAUUAGGGGUGUAAAUCUCAGAUUUACACAUAAUAAAAUGUGAUCUUAAGGCAAUGAGUUAAUGUUUGAUGAUACCACUGAAUCUGCUAUACAAUACAAUACAAUACAAUACAGUUUAGUCUCCAAUCGAUAUAUGAUCAACUUUGUUAAGAUUCUGGGGUAGGCCUAGUGUUAAUUCUCAAAUGAUGAUGGUGAUCUGGCCUUUUUAUUAUAAUUGAUUUAUAAUCAAUUAUAAUCAAUAAUAAUUGAUUUAUGACUGUCUCUUAGAUUCAUUUCAAUCAUUGCAUUCAAUCGUACACAUACCUCUGCAUGCAUGUGUGUUCAUGUGUGUUACUCAAGCUGUUCUGCUGGCUAAUUUGUCACCCAUUAGUAUAUUCCACGAUGACAUACUACAGCCCAUAGCUGGAAAAUAUUUGGGAUUGAACAAGUUCAUGCAUUGUGCUCUAUCUCUGAAGGGAUCCAUUAAAAGGUUGUUUUUUUUUAAGCAUUGGAUUGGGCUGUAGCGCCCUCUAGCGGUUUUAAACGAAUGAUACAGCUUCUUAGUCUUAAAGCGCCCCUAUUAUAUUAUAUAAAAAGUGCCUAAUAUUGUUUUACAGGUCUCAUACAACAGGUUUACAUGCAUCCAAGGUCAAAAAACACUUUAAUUUUCAAAAGAUCAGUAUUUUGCCUUGGCUGAUCCAAAACAUUGACUUUAUUCUUCUUUAACCAUUCUUUGAUAGAACAACUUGUGUGUUUAGGGUUGCUGACUUGCUGCAUGACCCACUUUCUCUUGAGAUUCAGUUCAUGAACAGAUGUCCUGACAUUCUGCUUUAGAAUUCACUGGUAUAAUUCAGAAUUCAUUGUUUCAUCAAUGAUAGCAAGUCGUCCUGGCCCAGAUCCAGCAAAACAGGCCCAAACCAUGACACUAUCACCAGCACGUUUCACAGACUGGAUAAGGUUCUUAUGCUGGAAUGCAGUGUUUUCUUUUCUCCAAACACAAUGCUUCUCAUUUAAACCAAAAAUUCUAUUUUGGUCUCAUCUAUCCACAAACCAUCUUUCCAUUAACCUUCUGGCUUGUCUACGUGGUCUUUAGCAAACUGCAGAGGGGCAACAAUGUUCUUUUUGGAGAGCGGGGGCGUUUUCCUUGCAACCCUGCAAUGCACCAUUGUUGUUCAUAGUUCUGAUGGUGGACUCAUGAACAUUAACAUUAGCCAGUGUGAGAGGGGUCUUUAGUUGCUUAGAAUUUACCCUGGGAUCCUUUGUGACCUCACAAACGUCUUGCUCUUGGAGUGAUCUUUGUUGGUCGAACACUCCUGGGGAGGGUAACAGUGAUCUUGAAUUUCCUCCAUUUGUACACAAUCUGUCUGACUGUGGAUUUUUGGAGUCCAAACUCUUUAGAGAUGGUUUUGUAACCUUUUCCAGCCUGAUGAGGAUCAACAACUCUUUAUCUGAGGUCCUCAGAAAUCUCCUUUGUUCAUGCCAUGAUACACUUCCACAAACAUGCGUUGUGAAGAUCAGACUUUGGUAUAUCCCUGUUCUUUAAGUAAAACAGGGCACUUACUCACACCUGAUUGUCAUCGCAUUGAUUGAAAACACCUGACUCUAAUUUCACCUUCAAAUUAAACUUUGGCUGCAUUGGCUCCCAGUCCAUUUUAGGAUCCAGUUUAAGAUUCUGUUGUUUUUAAAACUCUUAAUGAUCAAGCUCCUUCCUAGCUCAAAGAUCUUGUUACACCAAAUUCAUCUAACAGAUUUCUAAGAUCUUCUGAUAGGUUUCCUCUGUAUGUCUCUCGAUCCCGGUUAAAAACUAAGGGGGAUAGAGCUUUUUCAGUUGCUGACCCUCGUUUAUGGAAUCAAUUGCUACUGGAUAUCCACCUUGCACCUUCAAUUACCAAUUUUAAAAAGAGGCUUAAAACAGCUCUCUUCUCCCAGGCGUUUUAAUAAUUCUUUUUACUAUUGUCUGUUGUCUGUCUUUAUUUGGUUUUAUUCUGUUUUUCCAUUUUACGUUUCUGUACUCUGUUCAGCACUUUGGUCAGCUUCGCUGUGUUAAAUGUGCUUUAUAAAUAGAAUUUACUUACUUACUUACUAAACUGCUAAUCCUAGAGACUCACAUAGUUUUGCCACUCACAGAUAUGUAAUAUUGGAUCAUUUGGGUUCUCUUUGUCUACUUUUAGGACUUGUGUGAAAAUCUAUUGAUGUUUUAGAUCAUACUUAUGCAGAUAUAUAGAAAAAUUUACAAAAAAAUUCACAAACAUUCAAGCACCACUGUAUUUAUGGCCAAAUUAAUUAUAUGGUGAAUUAUAGUAACUGGAAACACUUAUAACUUAUUCAUUUCAUAGGAUACUCUGCCUUCAAUUAUGGAAUUUUAUGGUUGUGGCUUCCAAUGGAGAAUGACCUGAUGAAAGAAGGAUUCAUAAAUUGAUGACUGUAACUCAAAAAGUUUAAGGCACAGUGAGAACAACACAUUGGUGCUGAUCACAGCUAUAGUGUUUCAGGUGACACAGUACAUAAUAUGUAUGAACUCUUAUUAAUUGUAGUAAUAUUUCUUAUUUUGAAGUGAUAUAUUAUUUUCAGUAAUUAUAAAUUAGCAGUGCCAAGUCUUCUACCUAUAUGUGUUUCAAAGAUUGAGGAAAGAAGGGAUGAGGACAAUGAAAUAUAUAUCAAUGGGAUGCAUCGUAAAAAAAAAAAAAAUAAAAAAAAAAAGUUCUCUUCGUACAAUAAUCACAUGUGUAAUAAGGAAUAAAAUGGAUAUUCUCGUUAUGUUAUAUAAAUAUUAUUCAACUCCCCCCACCCUGCAAAAAAAACAAACAAAUAAACAAAAAAAGAUUAGAAGCCUUUUCCUCUAAUUUCACAACCAUGGAUGACUCUGUGUUAAGAGAAGGAAUUUUAUCAUUAAUUUAAUAGGCUGUUCAUGGUUUGUUAUGUUGAUUACAUCCUGUAGCCUAUCCUAGUCUAAUCUGUUAUCUGAUAACACACCCUAAAACUACUAAUUUAGUGAGGAAUAUUUCACUAGCAUGCUUUUGACACAACUCUCUCUCUCAAGGGCUCUGCUGUACAGGAAACAGAAAUGAUUAGUUCAUCUCUUGAAUCUUCGGGUGCGAGUCAUUCGUUCGUUAUGUCACAGCUGCAUUCAGCCUAUGGGGCGGUCACGUAAUGAACGAACGACUCGAACCCGAAGACUCAAAAGGUGAACUAAUCAUUUCUGUUUCCGGUGAACAGUCAUGACAAAUGUGACUCUGAGGACUCGGAUGACUCGAAUCGGGAGGUGAUGUGAACUAACAGACUGCUAAGCUAUUAAUGAAUCAUUUCUGUUUCUCAUCAUUCAGCCUUGGCUGCAUUAGCCUAUAGUUUAUUUUUUAUUCCAAAUGUGAUCAACAUUUGUGUAAGUACUAGAUGUUUUGGGGAAUUUAACAUGUAGCAUUUUAAUUAUAUUCUGCUGAAAUGAACGAAACGACUCGAAAAAAGAUUCGUUCAUUUUGCUGAACGAGAUUCAAAGAUCCGAGUCAGUAAAAUGAUCCGAAAUUCCCAUCACUACAUUUUAACGUCAUACUGCUACCUCUAAUCUCAUGUUUCUAAGCUGAAUAGGAAGCCAAACAGUGUCGAAACUGUGCUUCCCAACAAACCAUGCAGCGUGACCAUCAGUGCGAAAAAAGCAAACAGCUAUCACUAGUUGCAUAUCUACAGUAAAUAAAAUACAAUGAUAUAACACAACACAACAUAAAACUAGUUAUUUUUAAAUUAUUUCUCCUUUUUUCCAUCUGGACACCCCUUAUUUUCUGUCAUUUCUCAUUCAAAGAGCAACACAUUUUAAAAUUAUGAAAAAGUGUGUGUGUGUGUGUGUGUGUGUGUGUGUGUGUUUGAAAGAGAAAGAGAGAGAGAGAGAGAGAGAGAGAGAGAGAGAGAGAGAGAGAGAAUCUUGGCUUGUACAUAUAGCAGGACUAUAAAUUCUUGUCUAGAAUUGCAAUCUGAUUGUAAAUGUGGCCGGCAAUCACUAGAAUGAUCUGGGCCACACCCCCCAUCCACAAUCAGCCCAAAUGUUGUCUGCCAUCUCGUUUGCAGUGCCAUCAUUGCCACACACGGCCCACACUUGGCUGACAUGAUGCAUGCCAGUCCCGGCAGCACGCCAGCAGUGCCAUCCUGAGGCCUCAUUUGGUCCAAGACCGUCUGCUAUGUGGGCAGCUGUCUGCAGAUCUCUCUAUAGAUUAAAGGACCCGAGACUCCUCACCAAGUAAAGUCGAAUUUGGACGUUCUUGUACAGUACCUGAUGGAUUGAGAAGUAAUUUUCUGGUUUUCUUCUUAAUGAAGAUGCAAAUAGGCACAAAUGUUUAGUAGAGAACAUGCCAAACAAAAAUAUAUACAGUACCCAGUGAAGAGGUUUUCAUCAGCACAUGAUUCCUGAAAAAUGUUUAACAUGCUCCAGUAGGUCUGAAAAUCAGAUUUGAAAUUAUUAAAGGAAAUGUUUCAAUGAUGAGUGAUUAUAUAAGUAGAUUAAAUGAAUGACCAAAAAUUAAAUGACAACCAGGAUUGUUGAGCUUGAUGGUGAGGCUUAGAUGUUUUACGUGCAUGUUUUAAUAGGAAAGCCUUGUACUUCAUAAAUGUAAUCAUGAGUCAAUGUAGUCGGUGUAGUCAUAUGAAGCGCCCAAAAUACAGGUCCUCAUUAUGGCAGCAGCAAGUGUGAAAAAUAGCAAGAGAAGAAUGACUGUCUCGUCUAUUUUUCAGUUGCCGAUGCCAUAAAAAUAAUCAUUUUUUGGUCAUUUAUUUAAUCUACUUAUAUAAUAUUCUUCAGUACCUCUGUGUUCUUUGACCAGUCUGGCUUACUGUCCAAAGCUUACAGUCCACACCAAGAUAUUCAGUAUAAUUCGGAACCCUCUCCACAUAUAUAAACAGGGAUUCGAGUAUGCUUCCCUGUCCUAAAAUGCAUCACAAGCUAUUUCGUCUUGCUGAUGUUGACUUGUACAUUGUUCUACUCACACCACUCCAUGUAGUUGCCCACUACACUCCUCUACUCAUCUUUCUACCAUGCCCUGAUGACCCUGCGUUAUUCAUAACAGUGUCAGACAUACAUCUCUGAAGUCUGACUGUCCAGUGAGAGAGUGAGCGAUCCAGGACACUAGAGGGGCAUCUGUACACAUCUCCAUCAGCUUGUGUGUCAGCAAGGUCGGUCUAAUAGUUUUGAAUGCACUGGAGAAGUUGAGGAACAUUAUUCUAACAGAGCUAUCAGGUUCAGCCAAGUGAGUAUAGGGUUGAUGAAGUAUGUAGAUGAUGGCAUCGAUCACUGUUAUCUUUGUCUGGUAAGCAAACUGCAAGGGGUCUACUGAUGGUAUCAUCAGGGGUUGUUGUUUUGACAGAACCAGCAUCUCCAGGGUCUUAACGAUGUAACCGUUCUGGACCAGUGUCUUCAUUACAUCCUCCUUUUUCUACAAUUCCAGCAGUUUCCUGUACUCCAAGACCUUGGUUUAAAUGUCUGAAUUAUGACACAGCAGUAUUAUACAGAUAUCUGGGGAAACCCCUGAAUGAUUCAGGAAGGCAAGAAGAAGACUGAUGAGGUAGUGUUGGUGCAUACAAUGAACAGUAAGCUUUUCUCAGGAGGCCCUGGACAAAUAUCCCUCUCCUAGUCACACUUUAAGUGGCAACUGUAAAAUAUUAUAAGUGCACUAUGCAAGAGCAUAUUUGAUGACAGCUCUUGUGCUUUUUCUUAUGAAAUGAUUAAUGCACUGAUCCAUGACACAGAAGAAAUUGGCUAUAGUACUAAAGUGCUUGCAUAGAAGCUUUUAACAAUUAUUUUCGCAAUUAUCUUUAUACAGUGAAGUAAGUCACAGCUUUCUGGAAUAUAGCUCAUAAAUACUGAUUAAAUUGAUAUCAAUUGUAUAGUGAUUAAACAUGACAUUACUUGUCACUAGUGAUACAGUUAUUAUAAUUUCAUAUUACAUUUACCCAUUCAUAUUUACAGAUAAAGAAGGCAGCUGAGAAGAAGAGCGCGUGUCUGGUCUAGCUGUCUGGAAAGCCGCGCCUUUUUGCGGGAAAUAAAUGUAACUCUCUAGCCAUCAGAAAUUCCCCACAUCAUGAUACAAGUCAUGGUCAGGGGUUGCGGUGGAUCCGAAGCCUAUCCUGGGACGCAGAGAACACAUUACAGAACCCCGUAUGUUGUUAUUCAGUCACAUAUAAAAUUAAAUCAGCAUAAUUAGUGUGAUGCUGCUUCGGAAAACCACAAUAAACACAAGAGUCACUACCACCAGUACAUCCAUCGUGUACGUGCUUCUGUUUGUUGGGAAACUCCAAUUCCAAUAGAGAUCCAUGUUAUGAAGGGUUUUUUUUGUUUGUUUGUUUGUUUGUUUUUUAAUUCUAGUGCAAGUUUAUGAGACAGAAUAAAAUCUUUAACGAUUUAAGAUCUUGAUGGUUGGAGGCCAUGUGCAAGUCGGAACAUGCAUGACUUUUCAUAUCCAUGACAGCUACUAAUUAACAACAUAAUAGUGUACAUCAUAUUCAACACGCUUAGUGAUGACAAAUGCAUAUGAAGUGAUCAAGGUGGAGUAUAAAACAGGAAAGGUGUGUGUGUGUGUGUGUGUGUGUGUGUGUGUGUGUGUGUGUGUAUAUAUAUAUAUAUAUAUAUAUAUAUAUGUGUAUAUAUAUAUAUAUAUAUAUAUAUAUAUAUAUAUAUAUACAUACACAUCCUUUCUCUAUACUGCUUAUCCUACAGGGUCGCGGGGAACCUGGAGCCUAUCCCAGGGAGCAUAGGGCACAAGGCGGGGUACACCCUCGAUGGGGUGCCAAUCCAUCACAGGGCACACUCACACACACAUUCACACACCCAUUCAUACACUACAGACAUUUUGGACAUGCCAAUCAGCCUACCCUGCAUGUCCUUGGACUGGGGGAGGAAACUGACAUACCCAGGGGAAACCCUCGCGGUACAGGGAGAACUCCGCACACACUGAACAGCGGCGGGAAUCCAACCCCCAACCCUGGCGGUGUGAGGUAAACAUGCCAACCACUAAGACAUUGUGCGCCCUAUACACACACACACACACACACACACACACACACACACACACACACAUACAUAAAGCCGCAUGCACCAACUUAAUGAAUCUUUCAUGAAUUUGGCUGUCCUGUAGUGCCUAUAAAAGCUAAAAUAAAUUACUUAAAUUGAUUCCAAAAUCUUUUUGUAAAAUACAUAUAUUGUAUUUCAAAUUACUGAACAUGCUUAUGGUUUCACAGACGUUUGUCAGCUAUGUUACAGAAUACUCUGGAAAAAGCAGUUGUACUUGGAGAAAUAAUAAGGAAAAUACAGUAAUAAUAAAAUAAAAAAGAGUCAUUGCUGUGUAAUAUGCAAACAAUUUUGUUUUACUUCUUUUUUUUCUUGUUCUUUUAUUUUAAUUACUUCAUUGUGUUUUCUGGAAACAAAUCCAAGUAAAAAACACAAAAUCCCAAUCCACCGAGGGAAAAUACUUGGAUUCUCACGUUCCUGUUGCUUGUUUUAACAGUUGAGACACUCUAUUCAGCCAGUGCUCCUUCCUGACAGUUCACAUCUGAGUAAAUACAGACUACUUUCACUCUGAAUAUCACAGAGAUGUGAAUGUGACGUCUCAUUAGUCACAGUCUGUUGAGAAUACGACAUGAUGACAAUGGAUAUAAAAAGUCUACAAUGCCAAGUUUUUGUGAAAAAAAGCAAUGAGGAUAAUCCAUGUCAGAUCAUUUCCCAGCUUUAAUGUGAAAUUGCACACAAAUAAAGUGAAAAACAAUCAGAACAUUUUUAGGAUGGAAAAAGAAAAGAAAAAGAAAAAACAUACAAUAACCUAAUUGCGUAAGUGUGCACACCCCUAAACUAAUACUUUGUUGAACCACCUUUUGAUUUUUUUACACCACUUUUUGGGUAAGAGUUUAUCAGCAUGGCAUGUCUCGAAUUAUUUUCCCAUUCUUUCUUGCAAAAACAUUCUAGAUCCAUCAAAUUGUGAGGGCAUCUCCUGCACUUACACUUGAUUUCCAGUAAUGCAUAAAAUCCCAGCGUUUAAUACAUUUCUUUAUUAAAUAUUUUUAUACCAGAAUAUAGCCUACUUUUCCUCAAUGUCUUUCUUUCUUUCUCUCUUUCUUUCACAUUUAUUAUUAUUAUUAUUUUUAUUAUUAUUAUUAUUAUUAUUAUUAUUAUUAUUAUUAUUGCUUUCGGUGAUAUUAACUAUUUAUGUAGAUUUUUAAGACAUUUGGUCAACUGAAAAAUAUGCUUAUUUUAUUACUAUUAAUUUAUUAUUAAUUAAUUUAUUAAUUUAUAUUGGAUAUAGUUGGGGCGCACGGUGGCUUAGUGGUUAGCACGUUCGCCUCUGAGGUUCGAUUCCCAUCAUGUGUGUGCGGGGGUUUGCAUGUUUGCAUGUUCACCCCGUGCUGUGGGGGUUUCCUCUGGGUACUCCGGUUUCCUCCUCAGUCCAAAGACAUGCACGGUAGGUUGAUUGGCAUGUCCAAAGUGUCCAUAGUGUAUGAAUGGGUGUGUGAAUGUGUGUGUGAUUGUUUUCCCUGCGAUGGAUUGGCACCCUGUCCAGGGUGUACCCCGCCUUGUGCCUGAUACUCCCUGGGAUAGGCUCCAGGUUUCCCCGUGACCCUGAAAAGGAUUAAGCAGUUGAAGAUGGAUGGAUGGAUGGGUGGAUAUAGCUGUGGACUCCUCAUUGUUUUAAAGAAGCCUGUCUUACAUCACAUUUGUAAAAACAGGACUUCUGAGACCGCUACGUGGAACAAUCCUGGAAAGGUCUUUCUUGCAAAAAAGCUUUUAAAAUAAACAGGUGACCAAAUAUUAACCAAUAUCAUUAACUUCUCUUAAACCGAAAAUAUCUGUCUGUUUCCACUAAUGAAAGAAAAAUUGUGACAAUGUUAUUAUGAUAAUUCUCUUCUUUUCCUUUUCUUUAUUAAAAAGGAGAGGGAAAAUUGAGUCAAACUAAAAAUGUUUUCAAAGUAAAAAAAAAAGAAAAAAAAAAAAAUAGCUCUAAGCUAUUCUCAGGAUUCGCCUCUGGCACUCUGUGUGGUACUUAUGAACAACAAACAACUUAAUAAAGAAUGAGUGAUACAUUUUCAAGUGUUUCCCGUAAACAUAUUGUUGAUCCUUGUCAGUCUUUGCUGACUCCUCUCAGACUGCUUCACCAAUUCCGUUAUCAUGCCAGUUAAAGACCAGCUAUGUCUAAAUCACUGAGGCAUUUUUUUUUACACAAAAAAGGCAGAAGAUACUCAAUUAAAAGUAAAAGUGGCAGAACUAAAGCGACUAAAUUGACUGAAUUAAAACUGCCAAAAUGUUUCAUUUUCAAAAACAUGCUUAAAGAAUAAAAUAAAACUCUGUGAAUCAUACCCCCCCCCCCCCCCCCACGUGCAUUAGAAGAGCACAGCUAUUUUAUAUGAGACAUGAAGUCAUUCAACGUGACCUUGCAUCAAGUUCUCUGCGCUGCCUUAAAAAGCAUGAAAAACUCAAAUCGAAAGUGGAUGACACAUACAUUAAAGUCAGGAAGUGGGAUAAAGUAUUCAGAGAGUCUCAAAAGGAAUACUGAAUGAAGCACAUGAUAAAAUUCCUGUUUGUUCCUGAUCUGCAGAAACGGUUCUAAAAUAACAAAAGAAAUAUUUGAAAAAAUCCCACAAUCCAGACUGCUAAUGCUGAUGAUGGUAACAUGUUACACAUUUCACUUUGCAUGCAGUCAACACACAUUUUCUUUGUCUCGAGCUUCUGAUCACCAACUAGAUUUUCUCACCUGUUUUUCCUGAUUCUUAUAAACAAACCAAAAAAAAAAAGAAAGAAAAGAAAAUCCCCUAACAUCCAGGUGAUUGAUUAUAAAUAUUCUAAAUAUGUGUUUAAAAAGAACAACAAACGGAACACGAUAAGAAACAUAUGGUAUCUUUUAACAUUUAAUGUUUAAGUUGUAAUCUUUCCUGAAUGUGAAUGUUCUGUAUUGCCUACAAAAAAAAUGUAUUGUUUGGUUCCUAGUGUAUGCAGGACUUUAAUAGAAAUGAAUAGAAAUGAUUUAAAUGAAUGAAAAAUAAUCCUGUUAAACUGGAAAUAAUGUAAAGCUAUAGGAAUAUAUUUUGAAUGUUGUCAAAUGAUUAAAAACAUAAUCAUUUGACAACUAUAGCCUACUUCUCCCCAGUGUCUUUCUUCCUUUCUUUCACAUUUAUUAUUAUUAUUAUUAUUAUUAUUAUUAUUAUUAUUAUUAUUAUUAUUAUUAUUAUUGCUUUCAGUGAUAUUAACUAUUUAUGUAGAUUUUUAAGACAUUUGGUCAACUGAAAAAUAUGCUUAUUUUAUUAACAUAGGAUAUAGCUGUGGACUCCUCAUUGUUUUAAAGAAGCCUGUCUUUCAUCAUAUUUGUAAAAACAGGACUUCUGAGACCGCUACGUGGAACAAUCCUGGAAAGGUCUUUCUUGCAAAAAAGCUUUUAAAAUAAACAGGUGACCAAAUAUUAACCAAUAUCAUUAACUUCUCUUAAACCGAAAAUAUCUGUCUGUUUCCACUAAUGAAAGAAAAAUUGUGACAAUAUUAUUAUGAUAAUUCUCUUCUUUUCCUUUUCUUUAUUAAAAAGGAGAGGGAAAAUUGAGUCAAACUAAAAAUGUUUCCAAAGUAAAAAUUUUUUUUUUAAAAAUAGCUCUAAGCUAUUCUCCGGAUUCGCCUCUGACACUCUGUGUGGUACUUAUGAACAACAAACAACUUAAUAAAGAAUGAGUGAUACAUUUUCAAGUGUUUCCCGUAAACAUUUUGCUGAUCCUUAUCAGUCUUUACUGACUCCUCUCAGACUGCUUCACUAAUUCCGUUAUCAUGUUAGUUAAGGACCAGCUGUGUCUAAAUCACUGAGGCGUUUUUUUUUAACGGAAGAUACUGAAGUAAAAGUGGUAGAACUAAUGCGACUAAAUUGACUAAAACUACCGAAAUGUUUCAAUUUUCAAUAACACGAUCAAAAUGAAAUCAGUGAAACUCCUCACUUAAUUUUAUUCACACCAAACUAUAGAUAAUUUUAUAGCCUAUAUAAAUGUAAAUCCUUUAGAGCAAAUGAUUUGGAGUGUGUGUGUCUGUGGGGGGGGGGGGGGGGGGGGGGGGGGGUGGUUGGGGCGGUCUCUCUGAGAAAGUGUUCUCAAAUGUUUUGUCUGUACUCUUACACCUUGGGGGUUGGAUGGAUGGAUUGGGAGGCAGGGAAUUAUGUGCUAAAGGUGAAUCAUACAGUUUUAGAUUUCAGAAUGGUAGCCAAUUAACUUGCAGGAUGGGAAGAAAAGUUAGGUAAGAGUUCCUUAGAAUCUAGGGUCACUGUAGAUAGUGGGGUGGUUUCCCUGCUUUAUAAAGUCGACAGGAUUGAGGAUGAGCAGCAUCAGAAGAACUGAUUGCAAGACAUCAGGCUGAGCCUCCAAGUCCAUCAAUUAUCAUCACUAGCACUGAGAAGACAUAAUGCAUUUUACAGUGUGUAGCAUUCUCCUGCUGCUGUUGGUGGGGCCUGUGUCAUCUAUGCCAGUUCCAUUUUGUCAAAACACACACAGGCAGAUUGAGAACAUUCUCAAUUUGCUGCAGACGAUUAGAAAGGCAGCUACAGGAACAUCCUCAAACGUGACAAAGUUGGACGAGAACGAGACAAUUUUAAACACAGAUCAGUGUGCACUUAUACAGAGGCUGAGUAACUACCAGGCAUGUGACCUUGAUCUGUCACCAGAAAUCAAAGAACUCCACUACAUGAAAACAGAAACCAAAGGCUUGGUGGAGAACUUGCAGAGCUCCCCAAUUGCCAGCUGUGUCCUUUCACCUGCUGUGUGCCCCUGUUCACACUUGCCUAUGUGGAAGAAGAUCAUUUUCCUGUUGAAUUCAUGGUCUCAAGAUGUUGCUGCAUGCAACAAUGCACUUCGGAACGUGUGCUCAUCUUCAAACUACAAUUCUGUAUAAUUACUUGAAUACUACCACAUUUUAGACAAUGGAAAUUCCAUAAUUGUUUUAACUGAUGUUAAAUAUUUACUAUUUAGUCAUUUAAUAAAAGCAAGCUGUUUACAUAACUGUUUUUGACAUUUUCAGUGUUUUCCUUUAAUUUUCUAUGCUUGGUUUGUAAAAUAGAACACCUAGUACAUUAUGUUUUCUGAACUGAUUUAUACCAACAACAAUGCAACUCAAGGAUUGACCAGUGAGGAUACUUCACCAAUACGGCAAUCAUUUUAAAUUAAUUGUUUAUUUCCAUUCCAUUGAGCAUUUUUCCAUCAAAGAAAUGAAUGUGACAUGAUACCAAUUAAAUUAAUAGCACAACACAACAAAAACUUGUUUCUUUCUUUUUUUUUGUAAAAAACAUUUUACAAAUGUGAAAAACAUUUUCCAAAAUAAACAAACUAAUAACCUUAAAUAAAAACGCUUCCAUCUUAAUAAUCUAUCCGGUUGUUUUUAUGGGAUUUUUUUGUUUGCAAUAAAGUAGUCAAAAUGUAAAGUUAAGUCAAUGUAAAUGGAACUUCUGAAAGAGUAGGACAACUUAGUAAUGGUAAAAUAAUAAUAGAACACACUUCCUCUCGCGCUCUCUCUCUUUUUUUUUUCCACGUUGCAGUCACAGCCUUUCCUUUUCCCUGGCAAUAGGACACAAAGAACAUAAAUAGCUUUAACGUAAACGUAGUGUAAUGUUAGUGACGAUAACGACUGCAAUGUAGACAUCGAAAUUAAAAUGACGAGGUUACAUACGUAAUGGUGCAGUAACACGUGUCUCACUUGGAUUUUUCAACACUCUUUACAACGCCAUUAUAAACACUGCAUAUUUUAGGGAAUUCCCUCCAGCUUUACAGCAUCCCUUAGGUAACAAUGACAGAAACUCAUAUGCAGAAGAGAAAUCUUAAGGAAACCGUAUUAAGACAUCCACUAAUUGGUAGGAUUUCUAUGCUCUUCUAGUGAAUGUUUAAAGAAUAAAAUAAAACUCUGUGAAUCAUAUUUCCCCCCCUAGACGUGCAUUAGAAGAGCACAGCUAUUUUAUUAUGAAUAUGAGACAUGAAGUCAUUCAGUGUGACCUUGCAUCAAGUUCUCUGCGCUGCCUUAAAAAGCAUGAAAAACUCAAAUCGAAAGUGCACAUACAUUAAAGUCAGGAAGUGGGAUAAAGUAUUCAGAGGG